AUUGAACGCUGGCGGCAUGCUUUACACAUGCAAGUCGAACGGUAACAGGCCGCAAGGUGCUGACGAGUGGCGAACGGGUGAGUAAUGCAUCGGAACGUGCCCAGUCGUGGGGGAUAACUGCUCGAAAGAGCAGCUAAUACCGCAUACGAUCUAUGGAUGAAAGCGGGGGACCGUAAGGCCUCGCGCGAUUGGAGCGGCCGAUGUCAGAUUAGGUAGUUGGUGGGGUAAAGGCUCACCAAGCCAACGAUCUGUAGCUGGUCUGAGAGGACGACCAGCCACGCUGGGACUGAGACACGGCCCAGACUCCUACGGGAGGCAGCAGUGGGGAAUUUUGGACAAUGGGGGCAACCCUGAUCCAGCAAUGCCGCGUGCAGGAAGAAGGCCUUCGGGUUGUAAACUGCUUUUGUACGGAACGAAACGGUCUGGGUUAAUACCCUGGGCUAAUGACGGUACCGUAAGAAUAAGCACCGGCUAACUACGUGCCAGCCGCCGCGGUAAAAC
rnacentral:rRNA from 1 species